rnacentral:rRNA from 1 species
GGCGGACGGGUGAGUAGCGCGUGACGACCUGCCCGCGAGUGGGGGCCAACCCCGGGAAACCGGGGCUGUUACCGCAUGAGUCCGGCCAUCGGUGGGAUGGUCGGGGAAGCCCUUCGGGGCGCUGGCGGAGGGGGUUGCGUCCGAUUAGCUAGUCGGCGGGGUGACGGCCCACCGAGGCGACGAUCGGUCGCUGGUCUGAGAGGACGACCAGCCACAGGGGGACUGAGACACGGCCCCACACCUACGGGUGGCAGCAGCGAGGGAUUUUCGGCAAUGGGCGCAAGCCUGACCGAGCAACGCCGCGUGCGGGACGACGCCCCUCGGGGUGUAAACCGUUUUGACGGGGGCGAAGCUGACGGUACCCGUCGAAUCAGUCUCGGCUAACUACGUGCCAGCCGCCGCGG